CGGGACAUUCGCUCGAGCCCUUGAUUGCAGCAGUUCUGUAAGGCAGCCUAGUUUGCAUAUGAGUGCAGCUGCAGCUUCUCGAGACAUCACCCUGGCUUCCCACGUUCAGCUUAAUUAUACCACUGAUGCCUUCUGUGGCUGGUCAUCGGGCUUGGCACUUGCUUCCUUCUCUGCACCCUCCAGCAAUGCAGACCUGCAUGUUUUUGCCUAUUGAAGUUCCUUAACUGUAUUGAUUGCCACUCCCUCUGAGAUAGGCAUGGUAGGAUGCUCAUUUUACAGAUGAGGAAACUGAGGGUGAAGAGAUUUGGAUUUUACAAGUAAGGGUGAGAAGAAAUUCACUUGAAAGUUGAAGUUAUUAUUCCAUGAUUGUGACACAUAUAGCAAAAGACUGCACAUGGUCAGUAUGGUCUUAGCUGUGAUUAUAACUAGGAAAUUGAUAAUGAAAUCCCUACUUGCUUUUGUUUUGUGGAAUCCAAUGAUUUAUUUUAGGGGAGACGUCAACCCUUGUUAAAGCAGUUAGUUACUGUUCCCUAAUCAUGUCCUAAAUCCUGCCUUUAUUAGCUCUGUCAACAAAUUCAU